CCUUUCCACUUUUGUUUUCUCUUUCUGUCCAAGAACCUCUAUUCCUGUGACAGUCACUUCAUCACAAUCUGGGAUGUUUUGUUCAGUCUGUUUAAUGCUAACCGGGAAGUUGCAGGGCAUAAGUCACAGGAAAAACAUGAAGAGAGGCAGUGGAUCUUUACUUGGAGCUACGGGUUUCAUCGUGUUUCUUCUCGUGGGUAUGUUUGCAAACUCUGAAGCCAGAAAAGAUAUUCCAGUGGUGAGGAUUCCAUCAGUAGAAAGAGUAGGAACUUUGCGGCGGCCCAACGGGAAAGGCACUGAUCGUUUUGCCCGAGACUUGGAUCUGUUUUACGCGAGCAAGAGAAAAGUGCCCAAUGGACCUGAUCCCAUUCACAACAGGAGGGCGGAGACAUCUAGACGAUCACCAGGAGUCUGAUUGCACGCUGGGAGACCAUAACCAACCGUGGAUUACAAUAUGAAUUUUGAGCACGUAUCGUGAAAUCAAGGCGCCCUGUAGACUGCGUUUUCAUGUCAAGAACAAGAAGCCUGUGUUUCUUGGGGGUAAGCCAUAACUUGAGAGAUAUGCCAAUCCAUAGACAGACCCUUUUAAACCCCAUAGAUUCUUUGAGCCAAGUCUGCAACUUUUCCCCCCGACGGGGAAAAAUCGUGGAGUUGUUGAGGCAGAUGCUAAGCGAACGAAGAAGACUGAAGGGCCUUCUAAGGGUCUGUGUCUAUCUUUCUUUCUUUGCCGUUUUCUUUUUGAAAUGUAUGCUUUGUUUGAAGCUUGCUUUGGUGUUCUGUCCCCUGCUUAAAGCGCCCAUUAACUAAAGUUGCUCUGUUUCCAAAAAACAAUUUCCCCUUAAACACUGGUGGUGGUGGUCAUUUGCAUGGUCAGGGCCCCUUUCUUUAUGGUU